UGUUAAAAAAUCUACCUAUUUAUAUUGUUAAAAACUGGUUUGGUCAAUGAAAUAAUUGAACAAUGACACAUAACAUGCUAUAUAGACCUCAUGCUGAUAUACAAUGACUAAUUUUUAAUAGUAAAAAUAAUUAAAAUUUUUAAUA
rfam:Gossypium hirsutum cultivar TM-1 chromosome 5, whole genome shotgun sequence